GGGUUGUGAGGUUAAGCGACUAAGCGUACACGGUGGAUGCCCUGGCAGUCAGAGGCGAUGAAGGACGUGCUAAUCUGCGAUAAGCGUCGGUAAGGUGAUAUGAACCGUUAUAACCGGCGAUUUCCGAAUGGGGAAACCCAGUGUGUUUCGACACACUAUCAUUAACUGAAUCCAUAGGUUAAUGAGGCGAACCGGGGGAACUGAAACAUCUAAGUACCCCGAGGAAAAGAAAUCAACCGAGAUUCCCCCAGUAGCGGCGAGCGAACGGGGAGGAGCCCAGAGCCUGAAUCAGUGUGUGUGUUAGUGGAAGCGUCUGGAAAGGCGCGCGAUACAGGGUGACAGCCCCGUACACAAAAAUGCACAUGCUGUGAGCUCGAUGAGUAGGGCGGGACACGUGGUAUCCUGUCUGAAUAUGGGGGGACCAUCCUCCAAGGCUAAAUACUCCUGACUGACCGAUAGUGAACCAGUACCGUGAGGGAAAGGCGAAAAGAACCCCGGCGAGGGGAGUGAAAAAGAACCUGAAACCGUGUACGUACAAGCAGUGGGAGCCUCUUUUAUGGGGUGACUGCGUACCUUUUGUAUAAUGGGUCAGCGACUUAUAUUCUGUAGCAAGGUUAACCGAAUAGGGGAGCCGAAGGGAAACCGAGUCUUAACUGGGCGUUAAGUUGCAGGGUAUAGACCCGAAACCCGGUGAUCUAGCCAUGGGCAGGUUGAAGGUUGGGUAACACUAACUGGAGGACCGAACCGACUAAUGUUGAAAAAUUAGCGGAUGACUUGUGGCUGGGGGUGAAAGGCCAAUCAAACCGGGAGAUAGCUGGUUCUCCCCGAAAGCUAUUUAGGUAGCGCCUCGUGAAUUCAUCUCCGGGGGUAGAGCACUGUUUCGGCAAGGGGGUCAUCCCGACUUACCAACCCGAUGCAAACUGCGAAUACCGGAGAAUGUUAUCACGGGAGACACACGGCGGGUGCUAACGUCCGUCGUGAAGAGGGAAACAACCCAGACCGCCAGCUAAGGUCCCAAAGUCAUGGUUAAGUGGGAAACGAUGUGGGAAGGCCCAGACAGCCAGGAUGUUGGCUUAGAAGCAGCCAUCAUUUAAAGAAAGCGUAAUAGCUCACUGGUCGAGUCGGCCUGCGCGGAAGAUGUAACGGGGCUAAACCAUGCACCGAAGCUGCGGCAGCGACACUGUGUGUUGUUGGGUAGGGGAGCGUUCUGUAAGCCUGUGAAGGUGUACUGUGAGGUAUGCUGGAGGUAUCAGAAGUGCGAAUGCUGACAUAAGUAACGAUAAAGCGGGUGAAAAGCCCGCUCGCCGGAAGACCAAGGGUUCCUGUCCAACGUUAAUCGGGGCAGGGUGAGUCGACCCCUAAGGCGAGGCCGAAAGGCGUAGUCGAUGGGAAACAGGUUAAUAUUCCUGUACUUGGUGUUACUGCGAAGGGGGGACGGAGAAGGCUAUGUUGGCCGGGCGACGGUUGUCCCGGUUUAAGCGUGUAGGCUGGUUUUCCAGGCAAAUCCGGAAAAUCAAGGCUGAGGCGUGAUGACGAGGCACUACGGUGCUGAAGCAACAAAUGCCCUGCUUCCAGGAAAAGCCUCUAAGCAUCAGGUAACAUCAAAUCGUACCCCAAACCGACACAGGUGGUCAGGUAGAGAAUACCAAGGCGCUUGAGAGAACUCGGGUGAAGGAACUAGGCAAAAUGGUGCCGUAACUUCGGGAGAAGGCACGCUGAUAUGUAGGUGAAGUCCCUCGCGGAUGGAGCUGAAAUCAGUCGAAGAUACCAGCUGGCUGCAACUGUUUAUUAAAAACACAGCACUGUGCAAACACGAAAGUGGACGUAUACGGUGUGACGCCUGCCCGGUGCCGGAAGGUUAAUUGAUGGGGUCAGCGCAAGCGAAGCUCUUGAUCGAAGCCCCGGUAAACGGCGGCCGUAACUAUAACGGUCCUAAGGUAGCGAAAUUCCUUGUCGGGUAAGUUCCGACCUGCACGAAUGGCGUAAUGAUGGCCAGGCUGUCUCCACCCGAGACUCAGUGAAAUUGAACUCGCUGUGAAGAUGCAGUGUACCCGCGGCAAGACGGAAAGACCCCGUGAACCUUUACUAUAGCUUGACACUGAACAUUGAGCCUUGAUGUGUAGGAUAGGUGGGAGGCUUUGAAGUGUGGACGCCAGUCUGCAUGGAGCCGACCUUGAAAUACCACCCUUUAAUGUUUGAUGUUCUAACGUGGACCCGUGAUCCGGGUUGCGGACAGUGUCUGGUGGGUAGUUUGACUGGGGCGGUCUCCUCCUAAAGAGUAACGGAGGAGCACGAAGGUUGGCUAAUCCUGGUCGGACAUCAGGAGGUUAGUGCAAUGGCAUAAGCCAGCUUGACUGCGAGCGUGACGGCGCGAGCAGGUGCGAAAGCAGGUCAUAGUGAUCCGGUGGUUCUGAAUGGAAGGGCCAUCGCUCAACGGAUAAAAGGUACUCCGGGGAUAACAGGCUGAUACCGCCCAAGAGUUCAUAUCGACGGCGGUGUUUGGCACCUCGAUGUCGGCUCAUCACAUCCUGGGGCUGAAGUAGGUCCCAAGGGUAUGGCUGUUCGCCAUUUAAAGUGGUACGCGAGCUGGGUUUAGAACGUCGUGAGACAGUUCGGUCCCUAUCUGCCGUGGGCGCUGGAGAACUGAGGGGGGCUGCUCCUAGUACGAGAGGACCGGAGUGGACGCAUCACUGGUGUUCGGGUUGUCAUGCCAAUGGCACUGCCCGGUAGCUAAAUGCGGAAGAGAUAAGUGCUGAAAGCAUCUAAGCACGAAACUUGCCCCGAGAUGAGUUCUCCCUGACCCUUUAAGGGUCCUGAAGGAACGUUGAAGACGACGACGUUGAUAGGCCGGGUGUGUAAGCGCAGCGAUGCGUUGAGCUAACCGGUACUAAUGAACCGUGAGGCUUAACCUUACAACGCCGAAGGUGUUU
rnacentral:rRNA from 2 species